rnacentral:rRNA from 1 species
UACAGAGGGGCGAGCGUUGUUCGGAAUUACUGGGCGUAAAGGGCGCGUAGGCGGCCUGUUAAGUCGAACGUGAAAUCCCCGGGCUCAACCCGGGAACUGCGUCCGAUACUGGCAGGCUUGAAUCCGGGAGAGGGAUGCGGAAUUCCAGGUGUAGCGGUGAAAUGCGUAGAUAUCUGGAGGAACACCGGUGGCGAAGGCGGCAUCCUGGACCGGUAUUGACGCUGAGGCGCGAAAGCCAGGGGAGCAAACGGG